AGUGACGUUUACUGAUGACCUGAACUGCAGAUCUGACAACAAGGGACCUUCUUGGGAAAUCAAGGCUGGGUCUGGGCUACAGCUGCCUGGAGGAAAGAGCCGUUCCUAUUCUCUUCUGUUCCAGAAUAAAGUGAAUUAUUGAAA